AUACUGGCUUCAGCAGCAUAUAUACUAAAAUUGGAACAAUAUACGGAUAAGGUUAGCAUGGAUCCCGCACAAAGAUGACACACAAAACUCAAAAAGAUGCAACAUUGUG